AGCAGUCGCCGCGGUAAUACGAAGGGGGCUAGCGUUGUUCGGAAUUACUGGGCGUAAAGCGCACGUAGGCGGAUAUUUAAGUCAGGGGUGAAAUCCCGCAGCUCAACUGCGGAACUGCCUUUGAUACUGGGUAUCUUGAGUAUGGAAGAGGUUAGUGGAAUUGCGAGUGUAGAGGUGAAAUUUGUAGAUAUUCGCAGGAACACCAGUGGCGAAGGCGGCUAACUGGUCCAUAACUGACGCUGAGGUGCGAAAGUGUGGGGAGCAAACAGGAUUAGAUACCCGAGUAGUCCCUGUCUCUUAUAC
rnacentral:rRNA from 1 species